CUGUAGCUCAGCAGGAUAGAGCAACCGCCUCCUAAGCGGUAGGUCGCAGGUUCGAAUCCUGCCA
rnacentral:tRNA from 1 species